UGGGGAGUCGUCCAACGGCAGGACACAUGGCUCUGGACCAUGGUAUUGGGGUUCGAAUCCCUGCUCCCCAGCCA
rnacentral:tRNA from 1 species